UACGUAGGGUGCGAGCGUUAAUCGGGAUUACUGGGCGUAAAGUGUGCGCAGGCGGCCGCGCAAGUCGAGUGUGAAAUCCCCGAGCUUAACUUGGGAAUUGCGCUCGAAACUACGUGGCUGGAGUGUGGCAGAGGAAGGUGGAAUUCCACGUGUAGCGGUGAAAUGCGUAGAUAUGUGGAGGAACACCGAUGGCGAAGGCAGCCUUCUGGGUCAACACUGACGCUCAUGCACGAAAGCGUGGGGAGCAAACAGG
rnacentral:rRNA from 1 species